UGGCGGCGUGCCUAACACAUGCAAGUCGAACGAGAAAGCGGGGGCAACUCCGCGAGUAAAGUGGCGACCGGGUGAGUAACACGUGACUAACCUGCCCUCGAGCGGGGGAUAACCCCGGGAAACCGGGGCUAAUACCGCAUAACAUCUUCGAUACGAAAGUGUUGAGGAUCAAAGGAGCAAUUCACUUGAGGAGGGGGUCGCGGCCGAUUAGCUAGUUGGCGGGGUAACGGCCCACCAAGGCUGAGAUCGGUAGCCGGCCUGAGAGGGCGCACGGCCACACUGGAACUGAAACACGGUCCAGACUCCUACGGGAGGCAGCAGUGGGGAAUUUUGCGCAAUGGGGGGAACCCUGACGCAGCAACGCCGCGUGGAGGAUGAAGUCCCUUGGGACGUANACUCCUUUCGACCGGGAAGAUGAUGACGGUACCGGAAGAAGAAGCACCGGCUAACUCUGUGCCAGCAGCCGCGGUAAUACAGAGGGUGCGAGCGUUGUUCGGAAUUAUUGGGCGUAAAGGGCGCGUANGCGGUGCGGAAAGUCACCUGUGAAAUCUCCUGGCUUAACUGGGAGCUUGCAGGCGAAACUGCCGUGCUGGAGUGUGGGAAAGGUGCGUGGA
rnacentral:rRNA from 1 species